AAUACUAAUGGUCAUUACUUUGAGUGGCUACUGUACCGCAUCUAAGUCCGUACCGAUUGCUUCGGUACACUCUCGUGUUGGGUCCAUGCUAGCGCAACAAAGAUGAUGAGAGAGAGAGAAUGGACGAGAGGCAAAGAGAUGAAAAGAGAAAAUGGGAGGGAGAGAGAGACUAAAAGAGAGAAAAGAAGAGGGAGGAGGG
rnacentral:lncRNA from 1 species